rnacentral:rRNA from 1 species
AUGAACGCUAGCGGCAGGCUUAACACAUGCAAGUCGAGGGGCAUCGAGAGAGUAGCAAUACUUUGUCGGCGACCGGCGGACGGGUGCGUAACGCGUAUGCAACCUACCUUAGUACAGGGGGAUAACCUUUCGAAAGGGAGACUAAUACCGCAUAACAUUACUUUGAGGCAUCUUGAGGUAAUUAAAUCUUCGGAGGUAUAAGAUGGGCAUGCGUAGCAUUAGCUAGAUGGUGCGGUAACGGCGUACCAUGGCGACGAUGCUUAGGGGUUCUGAGAGGAAGGUCCCCCACACUGGUACUGAGAUACGGACCAGACUCCUACGGGAGGCAGCAGUGAGGAAUAUUGGUCAAUGGUCGGAAGACUGAACCAGCCAUGCCGCGUGCAGGAAGAAUGUCUUAUGGAUUGUAAACUGCUUUUGUAUGGGAAUAAUAAUAGCUUUGCGAAGUUAGAUGCAUGUACCAUACGAAUAAGGAUCGGCUAACUCCGUG